CGGAAAAAAAUCCAUGGUAUUGUUGUCGGCAUGUCUGAUCGUGUGUACGCGGCAUUAGAGAGGAUUUUCCUCACACUUGAAAGAUCACUUCACCAAAGUCUCAAUUACACUUGGGUGCUCAAGCAGGUAAUCCUAAUCAGGGGCGGACUGACCAUUCGGGCACUAGGGGGCCCCAUUGGGGUUGCCCCCCUCUCUCUGUUUUUAGAGCUCUUUGUGAGUAUGCAAUUGUCUUUUUGGUAUUAAAUAAAGUUGUAUGGUGGUAAUGCACUAAGCAUUUGUCCUCUCGUGUGUGUUGGCAAUUGGAAAGAUAGCCUCUCUUCCUGUUGGGUCUACAGAACAGGAAGUGAAGGGAAAUCGCCCUAAGAACACACAGAUCACAAAAGGGAAAACCUGAUGGUGGUUCUAACACUCCCCUACUCUACCCAAAAUCAAAAUGAGAGUUUUGACUUAAGAUAUACUUUAAGAAUCCUGUGCCAUAAUUUAACAUAGAAAAGUGACGGCAGAAAAAGACAGAGUAGUCCAAGUCUGCCCAUUUUCUUUUUUUUUUUUGGGGGGGGGGGGGUGUUUUUGCUUUUUCUAGGAGAAGUAAGGGCAAAGCCUAUGGACUUCUAUCAACUUUUUUGUCUGUUUGUUAUUGCAGCGUAUAGUGGCCAUUCACAGUCCUGUUUUUUUAAAUGAAUUUUUUAAGGCUAAACUCCAGGCACAAAAAUGUGCAUUUUAGUUAUGAUCCACAAAAGAUUUAAACUCACUUUGCAAACUCGGAUAUUAUCUUGAAAAAGUGGAGUUGCAUCAGCACUGUGAUGGUCAUAGCCAAAGCAAAAAACAGCUGAGGGAGGGACCCAGCAGGAAACUACAAGACCAGUCAUAAGGAAAGAAGCGGUGACCCGUCUUCAUUGCAGGAAGCUCCUGCGCAGUGAUGAAGUGCAGAACUUUUCAUGCUGGAUUAUUUUACACCAGGGAAAAAUACACAAAGGAGUCGAGUGAAAAUGCACAUUUUAUUUUCUGUUUUUUUUUUUAGAUAUUUGUUUAGUUUAGAAUUCAGCUUCAAAUCCGAACUCUGGGGAAGUGAAAUAAAUGUGCUUGUACUGGGGCCCACCCAAACUACAAAUGAUUAGGUGAAGUAAUUCUGCUGACAGAACCGUAUUGCUCAGCCCUCCUGGUACCUUUUUAUUCAUGCCUCAUCGCAAAAUCGAUCCUACUGUCGCAGCGCACCCCCUUUUUUUUCCUGUUCCAUCUUCCUCCAUGGCUUCCUUUUGGACCGUCCAUUGUUGCUCCUAAAUUUUGGGUUUCUAUUGCCUGUUGGGUAUUGAUGCCCCUCCUUGAGGAUAACGGGUCAUUACAACCCUUCCUGCCCCUGUAGACGUGCCCCCUCUCUGCACCUUGCAAUGGAUUCCAAUGGCAGUGACACAGAAGACCCCUCCACACCCCUGCUGCCUGCUCCCCCCUCAGACGAUGAGGACGACGAUGUUGAUGUAGAAGAUCUUUUCGAGACCCUAGCAAGGGUGACCCCCUCUCCAGAGGCUAUCCCAUGGGAGCAGCGCAGCACCAAGAUGAAGAUUGUCCACCUGGCAGACCGCGUCUUCUUGUUUUUGCUGGCCGUCUUCUUCCUGGUUUUGGCGGUGGAGGUCUUCUAUAUACUAUAUCACAUCGUGCCCUGGUCCGGGGUAUUUUACUAUGUGAGGGAUCGUCUGCUGAUGCAAGAGGAGGGGGAGGAGGAUUUUGAACUCUGAGAUCUCUUCAGGAAUUCAUGACGAGAAGAUGGGGGGGAAAAAAACAGAAGAUACAAUAUAAACCAACCUGGACUUCUUUAUCUCCAUUUCUAUUGUGAAUGGGAGGAAAUAUACACAAUACAGUAGUCUCUGUGAAAUGACAAUCUUCAUAAAUAUCCAGCAACUCUGAUUCUUAUACUUAUUGUAUGACGUCAAAUAAUAAAUUGCAACUAUAACAUAUAA